rnacentral:rRNA from 1 species
UCCGGCAGCUAUAUCAUCCUGCAAUUGACAACUGGUAGCCCCAAUUAAAUUUAGCAGGUGUGAGGCUGGUCAGUACCUGGAUGGGAGACCUCCUGGGAAAGCUAAGGUUGCUACUGGAA